rnacentral:rRNA from 1 species
UACGUAGGGUGCGAGCGUUGUCCGGAAUUAUUGGGCGUAAAGAGCUCGUAGGCGGUGUGUCGCGUCGGCCGUGAAAACCUGGGGCUCAACUCUGGGCGUGCGGUCGAUACGGGCAUCACUAGAGUUCGGCAGGGGAGACUGGAAUUCCUGGUGUAGCGGUGAAAUGCGCAGAUAUCAGGAGGAACACCGGUGGCGAAGGCGGGUCUCUGGGCCGAUAUCGACGCUGAGGAGCGAAAGCGUGGGGAGCGAACAGG